AAUUCUCUGUAAAUUGACCCCGUACUGUAGAUACUAUUGCAAAUUUAUUGGCUCGUAAACGUUGGCUUCUUUCGCUCUUCUUAUCAAAUCGUAUAAACCUCAUAAUUUCAGCAAAGUCAUUCCUGCUCAUUGUUUUUGAAAAAAAUGCAGGUCUCCAAAUUUUAUUCCACAAAUAUGAGGCAUCUAAAUUUUUUGCCU